AAAGUCGUAACAAGGUUUCCGUAGGUGAACCUGCGGAAGGAUCAUUAUGAGAUUUUAGAGAGGUUGUUUGGGGGAAGAGAUUUGGAAAAAUCUCUUUCUCUAAUGCCUUUUAACCUCCACGUGUGAACUUGUAAAGGUUAGGAGAGAUGUUAUGAUCUCUCCUAACCCUAAAACUUUUAAAAACGUCAAACAUGUCUGAACAAAAAAGAAAUACAUUACAACUUUUAACAAUGGAUCUCUUGGUUCUC
rnacentral:misc_RNA from 1 species